CCCUAGCCCCGAUAGAAGUGGAAAUCCUUUUGUGCCGGGGUUCGGCACAAAAGAUUGGAAUGGAUAGCGGGAUUAGCU
rnacentral:sRNA from 2 species